GGAAUAGUCUCCAUCGGUAAGGUAAAACAGUUGCUAUCUGUUUAGAUUUUUUAAUCUUGGUAGGUUCGAAUCCUGCCUAUUCCG
rfam:Wallemia ichthyophaga EXF-994 unplaced genomic scaffold scaffold44, whole genome shotgun sequence.